UCGAGGAUCCGACGGACACUCUUCUUCCAACAAUGAAGAUAGGAGUAAAUGUCAGGACUGGAGUGAAAAAGUCUUUAAUUUCCUGGAGAAGCGACAGUGAUCCAUUCCCUGGAAGUUUCUCGACUGGAAUGACAUCCGAGACGCCACCUCAAGCUUUCACUUGGAAUGGUUCGACCCCUUACUGGAGAAGCGGGCAAUGGGACAAAUCAAAAUUUAUCGGCAUAUCAACCAUGGACCAAUCAUACUCGAGUGGCUUCACUGUCCAGCAGGAUACUCAGCAGGGAACCACUAACUUUUCAAUGAAUAGAUACAAUUUCUUUGGAUACAUGUUCAUUUCUCCCGGAGGAUCUCUCAAGAUAAUGUACUGGGAUGAUGGAGCUAAGGCAUGGUUGAUGGAUUGGGCAGCACCGAACAAUACUUGUGAGAUUUAUGGAACUUGUGGUCCAUUUGGAGUUUGUAACUCACUGAAUUCGCCUAUUUGCAGAUGCAUAGAUGGGUUUGUGCCAAAGUCAAAUGAAGAAUGGAACAGUGGAAACUGGACCAGAGGAUGUGUAAGAGAGAUGGAAUUGAAUUGCCAGAAAAACACAAGCACAUCGACUUCUACAAACGUAAAGAAAGAUGCAUUUUGGCAAAUGAGCCAGAUGAAACUACCCGACUCUGGGAACUAUAUAUCAGACAUUGGAGAUGAAGAAGAAUGUGAAAGCUGGUGCGGGAGCAAUUGUUCUUGCUUGGCUUAUUCUUACGUCAGCACCAUUGGAUGCAUGGUUUGGAGUAAAGACCUCAUUGAUCUUCAGGAAUUUCCCACAGAUGGGGAAGAUCUAUUUGUUCGAGUUGCACAUGUAAAAGCAGGUUAGAAAUUGUUUCAUUAAGAUGAGUUUGAGUCGACACCAAUCAUCUUUUACAUAACUCUCUUUCCCAUUUCAGGAGGAUCGUGGCACAAAGCAGUUAUCAUCAGCCUAAGUACUAUUGCAGGGAUUAUGUUCUUUGCAGUAUUUGUUUUUGUUCUUUGCAAAUGGAGAGCUAACAAAACAGGUACACCUGAAAAAUCGACGGAGCUGACACAAGGAAAUGCAUGGAAAAAGCAGUUGAAGCAAGAUGAUUCACUGGAAUUGACCCUUUAUAGUUUUGAUAGCAUACUACUUGCUACAAACAAGUUCAGCACGACAAGUAAACUCGGGCAAGGAGGGUUUGGCUCUGUUUAUAAGGUAAGACCAUUCUGCAGGACAUUGUUAAUGAAAAUAUUUCAAGGUCUAAAAGCUAUGUGAAUUGCGAAACAGGGGAAGCUGAAAGAUGGGAAAGAGGUAGCUGUGAAAAGACUUUCCAGUACCUCAGCCCAAGGCGUUGAAGAGUUCAAGAAUGAGAUCAUCCUUAUAUCGAAACUCCAGCAUCGAAAUCUUGUUAAACUCGUGGGUUACUGCAUUGAAGGAGAAGAAAAGAUUUUGUUAUAUGAGUACUUGUCGAAUAAAAGCUUGGACACCUUUCUUUUUGGUUGGUCUUUUUUUUUUUUUUUUUUUUUAUCUCGGAUUAACUAUUUUUCUAUAAUGUAUUUUCUGCCAUAGCAUAUAAACUUGAAAACUAUUCCUGUCUGUCAUGUUUGUUAGAUUCAAGAAAGAAGGCAGAACUUGACUGGGGCAAACGAUUUCAAAUAAUUCAGGAGAUUGCAAGGGGGCUGCUCUACCUCCAUCGAGAUUCUUGCCUUAGGGUCAUACAUCGAGACUUGAAAGUAAGCAACAUUCUCUUGGAUGAAAAGAUGAACCCGAAAAUUUCAGAUUUUGGGCUAGCACGAAUGUUUGAGGGCACUCAAGUUUUGGUGAACACUCAAAAAAUUGUUGGAACACUGUAAGCUCUCUAGGCCUAUUUGAAUUAUCAAUUCAUUGAGUCAAUCUCUUCAAGCAGACAGAAAUGAUUGAUUUACCACAACGAACAUCUCUGUUCAUGCAUGUUUUAUCCCCAUUGUCUAUCGAUACAAUCAAAGAGUACAUAAUGUGUUUAACUUAACUGCAGUGGCUAUAUGUCUCCUAAGUACGCCAUGGGUGGAAUAUUUUUCGAGAGGUCUGAUGUCUAUAGCUUCGGAGUGUUGCUACUGGAGAUAGUAAGCGGCAAAAAGAACACGUCCCUGUAUGACUAGGGAUAUCUGAAUCUCCUUUCCUACGUACGUCCCAAAUUCCAAACUUAAUCAAUAUCGUAAGUUUGAUGCAAUAUUAUGACAGUGUUCUCACUUACAGGCAUGGCAAUUGUGGAGUGAUGGCAAAGCAUUGGACCUAACAGAUGUAGCAAUGGCCGUUAGCUCUCCUUUGGAGGUAACAAGAUGCGUCCAUGUUGGGCUUCUAUGUGUUCAGGACCAUGCCACGGAUAGACCAAACAUGUCGAAUGUGGUUAUGAUGUUAAGUGGCGAGUCAGAUCUUCCUCAGCCGAGGCAGCCUAUAUUCACUUUCCAAGCUGAAAUGCCAAAUCGUUCUAAUCCAUCACAGCAAGAAAGCAUCCAGUCUGUUAACACUAUCACUAAUACAGUGGUCGAAGGAAGAUGACUAUCUAUUUUCGUUUUUCUUUUUCUUUUUUUUGGAGAUGACUUUGUUGUUAUUUUUUAAGAUUUUAGUGUUAAUUCAAUUCAAGGAUGGCUUUAGUCCACUCUGAAUAGAAGGGUCGAAUGGGCUGCUCCACUUUAUACAAGGAUUUUAGGCUGCAAACUAGGGGUUUAAAUUGUGUACUUUUUUAACGGAACAUAAUCAAUGCAGCAAUUUGUUCUAAUUUACAGUAGCCAGAACUGUUGUUAUAAUUAAGGAGAACUACCGAGUAAUUGCCAUCACUCUCAUCACCAGUUGCAUUUUGAAGAUUCGAUUUCCUUGGUUUUUGGACGAAAGAUAUCAUUACCAAAGAUAGACUAAAGUCCCCCCCCCCUCGCCAAGAGAAGCAUGAGCAUUGGCAUAGGACAAAGUAUUUCCAGCUUCAGUAUGAUCCCCAUAUAUGAAUUACCUGCUUCAAAUUUGAUAAGAAGUCAUCUAUGUCUGCGGCAAUUAAAUGUCAGCUAGUGAUCAAUUCAUUGACUGAACAAUUCAAUUCGGAAAAGCUUCGCAUGAAAAUGGAAGGCUAAUGUCAGCUAGUGAUCAAAAUCGGAGCUAUGUGAUCCUUAAACUGAAGAGCUGAAGAGUUCCCGGUUUGUUUGGAACCCAUAUAAUAUCUAGCUUCAUUGAACAUUAAACUUUUGAGGAAAAUUAACUUAUUAAUCCUAAACCUAUUGUAGAAAUGUGAAUUCAUUCCAUUUUUUUUUUAAUUUUGCAAAUUUAAUCCCUAUGCAAAAUUCCAAUGUAGUCAUUCUAGACAAUUUUUGUUGGAAAUCGCUAGCAACGGCGAUGACUAGAUUAUUACAUUAGUGAUUUUUAGCAAAAAUUAGCCGGAAAGACAGAGUAUUUUUUGCAAAGGUUAAUUUGGCAAAAUUGAAAAGUUUUGGACGGAAUUGACAUUUGUGUAACAGAUUUAGGGUUAAUUGGACUAUUUCCGCAAAACUUGUGUUAUUGUAUUGACAAAACAUUUGGCCAACAAGUUUCAUCCGAAGCCGUUUUGACCCCUCUUAUUAUUAUUUGUACAUUUUAAAGUACAGUCAACGUGGAACAACGGUCAAGAGAAGAACGCCGACUUUAUUGGCUUCUCAUCCAAAAAAACAUUUUUUAAAAGCCAACAUUUGACUCACGAUGAAGCUUCUAUUGCAUAAUCUAGACUGACUUGUCAAACUGCAAUGACAUCCUAAUCUCUUGGCAUUCUGGAAAUGCAUAUGAACUGGCAUAGGCAUCAUCAGCUUCCGAUAUAAAGCUAAUUUUGUAUGAUAACAAGACAUCUGAAGCUAUCUCUAAGAGGAUUUAUGGCCUCACACCUUUGGCAAAGUGUAUCGGUUUGCAAAAAUCUCGCCUUCCUGUCAGAUCUGCAGGCAAAACCGAAAGGCGAAGAAUCAGGAGCCCCUUAACAUCCUGGAGUAAGCAACAACCAAACACAGUAGGCUCCUAUGACAAUGUUGCUUAAGAUGUGUCGCUACUCUUCCUUGGUCAUGGUCUUCCUUCUUCAGGCACAUCAUAGCACCGCAGUUUAUAACAUUACUGCAGCCGAACCACUUUUUUAGAACCGAACUCUUGUCUCCUCUUGUCAAACCUUUGAGCUCGGUUUCUUCACUCCCAACAGAUCAGCUAAUCAAUAUAUGGGCAUAUGGUACCAGAAUGGGACUCCUUCCAAGAUCAUCUGGGCGCCAAUAGAUAUACGCCGCUUGCAUAUUUAGAUCAUUCGGCAAAAUUAACAAUAGGCAGGGAUGGGAAUCUGAAGCUUGGUGGAUGAGCAACAUAAGGUAGUUUGGUCCACCAAUGUUUCUGUUCAGUCAGACCAUACUACAACAAUGCUUUCAGAUGUAGUAAACUUUGUUCUACAAGAUGGGAAUUCCAUUGAAAUAUGGGCAAGCUUUGAUGAUCCAACUGAUACUUGAUAAAGCUAGUACUAACACCUAGGGGGAGGGGGGGGGGGUGAAUAGGUAUUUGAAAGAAAUCUUAACAAAUAAAAUAAAUUGCUUGCAAAGUCUAGAUGAAGAUCAGAAUCACAAGAUUCCAAACUUCUAUGAUAUUCAGAAAGUGUGCAAUAGACUUUAAAUGAAUGAGAUAAAGAGAGAAAUGUACACACAAAUUUUAUAGUGGUUCGGCUUAAAUCAAGCCUACGUCUACUAUCCCAGGCUGAUAGCCUACUCGCUAGAUUCCAAUUACAACUUGGUGAGCAAACAGUCAAUGGUAGAAAUUUUCUAACUCACUAAGAGACUCAUUUUUUGUUUUCUCUCUAGAUCACACUUUUUAAAGCUCAUAGAUGAAAACUAAUAAAAUGAGAGUAGCCUUUGACUUUGGAAUCUCAAAUUCACGUUCCCACACCAAAUAAACUCCUUUAAAUACUCCUUCACCCCAUACUAGCUCUUGGUAAUCUUCGGAGAAACUUUUUUCUAAUCAAGCCAUUGGACAUAAUCAAUUAAAGGAAUCUUGUGGCCGUUGAAGUUAGGAAUAGAAUUUCCACUUGAUUAUGUUCGCCUAUAUAAUCAGAAUCUUGGUUUCCAUAAAUAGAUACUUCCCAAAAAGAAAGUUGUCUUCAAGAUUGAUUUUUUCAAUUUGUGAUAGAUUUUAUCAACGAAUUUAUAUAAGGUAAGUGAAAUCCUUUGCUAGAAAGCUAGACGAUGUAGAAUAAUUUCCUGAUAAGUUCAUUCUGGAUCUGUGUCGCAAAAUCGAUCAAUUUGAAUAUGUACUCUUCCUCAUUUUUUACAUGAUCUCAUUCUGGACUUUGUUAGAAUGGGAAGAGUUUCUGAGAAUUAAUAGACUUUUCUAGAGGCAAGGCCUGAUCAGGUGAGGGCAAACCCUAGUGAGGGAUCCCCUCACCCAAGCCAUGGCAACCUUGUUGGGUGUCACCUUUGCUUAGGCAACACUCGGCGAGGGCUGGCCUUGCUAGAUCUAACAAAAGGAGCCCUCGCUUGAUUGAGUGUCGCCUUUGGUGAGUGAUGGUAACCCUCGCCCAAGUGAGGCCAACUCACCCGGCUAUGGCCAGUGGCCAAUCACCGACAAAAGGAAGAAGAAAAGAAGAAAAAAAAUUAUUAAAAAUUAUUCAUGUCAAUAAUAUCCGGUUAAAAUUAGCCACCUGAUAAAGCGUCGACUUUGGUGAGUGACAAUUCCUUCACCCAAGUGAGGCCAACUCACCUGGUAAUGGCCAGUGGCCGAUCACCGACAAAAGGAAGAAGAAAGGAAGAAAAAAAAUUAUUAAAAAUUAUUCAUGUCAAUAAUAUCCGGUUAAAAUUAGUUUUUUUUUUUUUUGGUAAAGGUAAAAAGUUUAUAACUAAAUUAACACAAUUGAAAGGUUUAAAACUAAAUUGGCACAAAUGUAAUAAGUUUAUGAUUUUUCUAACACUUUUCCCUUGAUUUUUUUGUAUCAUUACUAAACUCUUAUGUCUAACGUGCAUACCAAAUCACAAUUUUGUUUGGGGGGUGUAGUUAAUUUACAAUGUAAAGAUUUUUAUAAAAUGGUUUUCAAACUUUCCUGUAUUUAGUUUGUUGAGAGUAAGGUAAAAAGAAACGCUUUCAUGUUUUUGGAUUGCCAAAAACUCUCUAUUGGUAUUCCCUCCUCUUUGUUUAUUUACCGUGGUAUCACUCUUCGAUUUCUUUUUGGGAAUGGAGAACCAUUCUCAUGUGAAGUUUUAUGAGAAUUGAAAGAUUAAGUUUGUAAAUUAUUACAUUUAUCUUUUUUGGCAUCCUUUUUAGGUUGCUUUGUUCCAAUAAAAAAAGUAAUAUUCAUAACUAAAUAUUAGUAACAUCAUCUUAGUAUCUUAUAUUAAGAACAAAAUAUGAUUAUCAUAAAAGUGAUAUAUUUUUUAAAAUAAGAUCUAAACACCGAACCCCGAUUCAAGCAAGAGUUUCUCUAGUCGGUGUCGUGGUCCAGUCAAUGCCCCUCUGUCAAGAAGGCUGUUUCUAUGGUCGCUCAAUAGUACACAUCAAUUGACCUGAGAACAUAGUGUCAAGAAGAAACGCACCCUACUAUAUUAGCUAGUGAACAUAGAUCUAUGUUCAUCAGCUAAUAUAUAAGUAGAUCUAGUCAUGUAUCGAAUCAACUAUGAGAGUAGCAAUGCACUAGGUCAAGGCUCGGGUAGGAAGCGGAGGGUGCAAAGGGCUUUGCAGGGUCAGCCGAGAGCAAUUUUUUGGUGAGCCCAAACAAAUCAAGACUAAAUUUUAUGGGCUCAAUCAAUGGCCUAGACUUAAAUCACAAAUUCGGCUGAAUCGGUUUAGUUCGGUGGGGCUAUUUUAGGUCAAAGCCCGACUUUUCCAAGAAUGAAGUUUGUUUAUUUAUUGUCAAAUUUGAAAACUUCGACAAGCACAAUCAAAAUAAGCCUUUUAAGGUACUAUGAGAACUUGUUUAAGGUUCAAUAAUCAAAUAUAACUCAUCUACUUAAAUUGCUUAGUGAACUCAUCUCAAAGUUUGGUUUAAUAUAAAUUAAAAGUAAUUAAAAGUAUAAAAGCAAUAUUGUACAUCCAACGUACAAUUAAUAAUGAUAGUAAUAAUAAAAGGCCAUUGGUUUUGGUUGGAAGAACUAUUCAGAGUUCACGUACAAUCACUUAAAGGUAGUGCUUAGACCAAAAUAGAUACUUACGAUUUGACCUUUCCUCAGCACUACUGUGUUUACGUACGGAACCUUCACCCGCGUUCUCUCGCCAACCCAAAUCGCAUAGCCUUAAGUCAUUUGAUUGCACCACACUUGGACUUCGUUCGAUGUCUUGGUUAACAAGUAAGCAAUUCGAAUUUGUGAACUGAAAUGUGAACUGUGACGCAGUCAAAUUUGAACAACGCCGGGGAACAACCCCCACGUUGAACAGUCAAUGAAGAUGUGGUCUUCUGAAAACCCUCGUGUUUCAGCCCCCUUUGAGCACAAAGGCCUCUUUGCUCACAGGAAAUCUCGUUCAUCUAUCCUUAAAUCUGCAGAAAGUGCAGAAUCAACCGAUCCAGCGAACUCACUAGGUUCAUUCAGUCAUUCUUACCAUGCGGCUCUUGAUUUCUUGGUGCUCUUGCUCGGUCAUCUUCUGCCUACUUCAGGCAAGUCAUAGGGCCAGCGGUGUAGCUUACAAUAUUACUCCAUCGGAGCCGCUCUUUCCGAACCAAACUCUCGUCUCCUCUGGCAAUAUAUUCGAGCUUGGGUUCUUCACGCCACGCGGGUCAGAAAAUCAGUAUGUUGGCAUAUGGUACAAGAACUUGACGCCUUCUAAGAUCCUGUGGGUGGCCAAUAGGGAGCGGCCACUUGUGUACACAGAUUGGUCUGCAAAACUAACGAUAGACAGUGAUGGGAAUUUGAAGCUCAUGGAUGGACAAGAAAAUAUAGUUUGGUCUACCAAUGUCUCUAGUCCGUCCAGUUAUACAUCGGCGGCGCUAUUAGAUAGUGGGAAUUUUGUCCUGCAAGAUGGAAAUUAUAGCGAAAUAUGGGGAAGCUUCGAGGAUCCGACGGACACUCUUCUUCCAACAAUGAAGAUAGGAGUAAAUGUCAGGACUGGAGUGAAUUUAAUUUCCUGGAGAAGCGACAGUGAUCCAUUUCCUGGAAGUUUCUCGACUGGAGUGACAUCCGAGACGCCACCUCAAGCUUUCACUUGGAAUGGUUCGACCCCUUACUGGAGAAGCGGGCAAUGGGACAAAUCGAAAUUUAUCGGCAUAUCAACCAUGGACCAAUCAUACUCGAGUGGCUUCACUGUCCAGCAGGAUACUCAACAGGGA
rnacentral:lncRNA from 1 species